rnacentral:rRNA from 1 species
CCCUACGGGGCGCAGCAGGCGCGAAACCUCCGCAAUGUGAGAAAUCGCGACGGGGGGAUCCCAAGUGCCAUUCUUAACGGGAUGGCUUUUCAUUAGUGUAAAGAGCUUUUGGAAUAAGAGCUGGGCAAGACCGGUGCCAGCCGCCGCGGUAACACCGGCAGCUCUAGUGGUAACAAUUUUUAUGGCCUAAAGCGUCCGUAG